GGGUUGUGGCUCAGCGGUAGAGUACUCGUCUAGCAUUUGUGAGGCCCUGGGUUUGAUCCUCAGCUCCA
rnacentral:tRNA from 1 species